GCGGGUGUAGCCCAAUUGGUAGAGGCAGGGGACUUAAAAUCCCUGUGUUGUGGGUUCGAGUCCCACCAUCCGCACCG
rnacentral:tRNA from 1 species